GUGAAGUUGAUCUAUCAUGACAUCUGCUACUGUCUUGGUUGCCAAGGUUGGGUUGGCUGGGUUGGCUGGUCUGGCAGGUCAAAGGACGUCCCCUUUCUCUUUCGCCCACUUGGGUGAGCCUCUUUGGUCAACCAGGACAAAGAGGUUGACCUUCUCAGCUUGAGGGGCACAGGGCUUCGGUCAACAGUAUUUAGGAGUGGCUGCGCAGCUCUGGCAGAAAAGCUGAAAGAUUUCUCAGCAUUCUUAUCUGCCUGGCCAGGACUUACACAGAAAGACAGAGAUGGAUCUGGGCUUGUCAUUUCCCAGUUU
rnacentral:snRNA from 1 species